GCUGGGUGUGGUGGCGCACACUUGUAAUCCCAGUGGCUUGGGAGGCUGAGGCAAGAGAACUAAGAGUUCAAAGCCAGCCUUGGCAAAAGUGAGGUGCUAAGCAACUCAGUGAGACCCUGUCUCUA
rnacentral:sRNA from 1 species